rnacentral:tRNA from 2 species
GCCUCCGUAGCUCAGUUGGUAGAGCAGCUGUCUUGUAAACAGCAGGUCGCGGGUUCGACUCCUGUCGGGGGCUCCA